UACGGAGGGGGCAAGCGUUGUUCGGAGUCACUGGGCGUAAAGAGCUCGUAGGCGGCAGUGUAAGUCGGGAGUUAAAGGCAACAGCUUAACUGUUGUAAGGCUUUUGAAACUACAUUGCUAGAGUACCAGAGAGGUAAGCGGAAUUUCCUGUGUAGCGGUGAAAUGCGUAGAUAUAGGAAGGAACACCGGUUGCGAAGGCGGCUUACUGGCUGGUAACUGACGCUGAGGAGCGAAAGCGUGGGUAGCAAACAGG
rnacentral:rRNA from 1 species